rnacentral:SRP_RNA from 1 species
GCCAGGUGCGGUGGUGCGAGCCUGUAAUCCAGCUACUCCGGAGGCCAAGGCAGGCGGAUCGCUUGAGCUCAGGAGUUCUGGGCUGCAGUGGGCUAUGCCGAUCGGGUGUCCACACUAAGUUUGGUAUCAAUAUGGUGAUCCCUGGGGAGCCGAGGGCCACCAGGUUGCCUAAGGAAGGGUGAACCAGCCCAGGUCAGAGAUGGAACAGGUCCAAAAAAAAAAAGGACUGAAGUUACCAAAGGGUUGAAAGCACUAUUGUUUAAUCAAAAUCUAGCU